AAAAACAUGGCCUUUUGAUAUUAAUUUAAGGUCUCGCCUGCCCAAUGAAUAAUUAAAUGGCUGCGGUAUUUUGACCGUACAAAGGUAGCAUAAUCAUUUGUUUUUUAAUUGAAAGCUAGAAUGAAAGGUUGAAUGAGAAAAUUACUGUCUCUAUUUAAAUUAAUUAAAAUUUUAUUUUUAAGUUAAAAAGCUUAAUUAAAUUUUGAAGACGAGAAGACCCUAUAGAGUUUAAUAAUCUAAAAAGUUAAGUAAUUUAGUAUUUAUUUUAUUUAAUUUUUCUAGAUUAUUUAAUUGGGGUGAUUAAAAAAUUAAAUUAACUUUUUUUUUAUAUUUACAUAUAUUAAUGAAUAAUUGAUCCUUAAAUUAAGAUUAAAAGAUUAAAUUACCUUAGGGAUAACAGCGUAAUUUUUUUUUAGAGUUCAAAUUAAAAAAAAAGAUUGCGACCUCGAUGUUGGAUUAAAAUAAAUAUUUGGUGUAGCAGCUAAAUAGGGAGGUCUGUUCGACCUUUAAAAUUUUACUUGAUCUGAGUUCAAACCGGUGUAAGCCAGGUUGGUUUCUAUCUCAAAAAAGAUAAAAUAUUUUAGUACGAAAGGACCAAAUAUUUAAUUAAUAAUUUAUAAUUUGAAUUAUAUUAGUUAUUUUGGCAGAAUAGUGCAAUAGGUUUAGAAUCUAUAUAUGUAAGUUUUUACAAAUAAUACUUGUUAUUUAAAGAUUUAUUUUUAAUAUUAAUUUCUAUGUUAAUUUUGGCUUUUUGUAUUAUAAUUGGAGUUGCAUUUUUAACAUUAUUAGAGCGAAAAGUUUUAGGAUAUAUUCAAAUUC
rnacentral:rRNA from 1 species